AACGAACGCUGGCGGCAGGCUUAACACAUGCAAGUCGAGCGCCCCGCAAGGGGAGCGGCAGACGGGUGAGUAACGCGUGGGAAUCUACCCAUCUCUACGGAAUAACGCAUGGAAACGUGUGCUAAUACCGUAUACGUCCUUCGGGAGACAGAUUUAUCGGAGAAGGAUGAGCCCGCGUUGGAUUAGCUAGUUGGUGGGGUAAAGGCCUACCAAGGCGACGAUCCAUAGCUGGUCUGAGAGGAUGAUCAGCCACACUGGGACUGAGACACGGCCCAGACUCCUACGGGAGGCAGCAGUGGGGAAUAUUGGACAAUGGGCGCAAGCCUGAUCCAGCCAUGCCGCGUGAGUGAUGAAGGCCCUAGGGUUGUAAAGCUCUUUCACCGGUGAAGAUAAUGACGGUAACCGGAGAAGAAGCCCCGGCUAACUUCGUGCCAGCAGCCGCGGUAACAC
rnacentral:rRNA from 1 species